rnacentral:rRNA from 2 species
AAAAUUGGCUUUGUUUUCAAAACGGGGGUGGGCCCAACCCCCCAAGGGAGGAAAAGAACCAACAGGGAUUGCACUUAGUAACGGCGAGUGAAGCGGCAAUAGCUCAAAUUUGAAAUCUGGCCUUGCGCCGUGAGUUGUAAUUUGCAGAGGAAGUUUCUGGUAAGGUGCCCCCUGAGUCCACUGGAAUGUGGCGCCAUGGAGGGUGAGAGCCCCGUAUAGUUGGACACCGAGCCUAUGUGAAGCUCCUUCGACGAGUCGAGUAGUUUGGGGAUGCUGCUCUAAACGGGAGGUAAAUUCCUUCCAAAGCUAAAUACAGGCCCGAGACCGAUAGCGCACAAGUAGAGUGAUCGAAAGAUGAAAAGCACUUUGAAAAGAGAGUCAAACAGCACGUGAAAAUUGUUGAAAGGGAAGGAUUUGUGACCAGACUUGUGCCGCGCUGAUCUCCCGGUGUUUUCACCGGUGUACUCGGCGCGGUUCAGGCCAGCAUCGGUCUUAGGCGGGGGAUAAAGGCGGUGGGAAUGUGGCUCCUCCUGGGAGUGUUAUAGCCCGUCGCAGAAUACCCACGCUGGGGACCGAGGCCUGCGUUCGCACGGAUGCUGGCGUAAUGUUACUAAUCAC